rnacentral:rRNA from 1 species
CUGCAUGUCUAGUAUAGCAUUAUACAGCGAAACUGCGAAUGGCUCAUUAUAUAAGUUAUCGUUUAUUUGAUAGUACCUUACUACUUGGAUAACCGUGGUAAUUCUAGAGCUAAUACAUGCUAAAAAUCCCGACUCCGGAAGGGAUGUAUUUAUUAGAUUAAAAACCAAUGCCCUCUGGGCUCCUUGGUGAUUCAUAAUAACUUUUCGAAUCGCAUGGCCUUGCGCCGGCGAUGGUUCAUUCAAAUUUCUUCCCUAUCAACUUUCGAUGUUUGGGUAUUGGCCAAACAUGGUCGCAACGGGUAACGGAGGGUUAGGGCUCGACCCCGGAGAAGGAGCCUGAGAAACGGCUACUACAUCCAAGGAAGGCAGCAGGCGCGCAAAUUACCCAAUCCCGAUUCGGGGAGGUAGUGACAAUAAAUACUGAUACAGGGCUCUUUUGGGUCUUGUAAUUGGAAUGAGUACAAUUUAAAUCCCUUAACGAGGAACAAUUGGAGGGCAAGUCUGGUGCCAGCAGCCGCGGUAAUUCCAGCUCCAAUAGCGUAUAUUAAAGUUGUUGUGGUUAAAAAGCUCGUAGUUGAACCUUGGGCCUGGCUGGCCGGUCCGCCUCACCGCGUGCACUGGUCCGGCCGGGCCUUUCCCUCUGUGGAACCCCAUGCCCUUCACUGGGUGUGGCGGGGAAACAGGACUUUUACUUUGAAAAAAUUAGAGUGCUCCAGGCAGGCCUAUGCUCGAAUACAUUAGCAUGGAAUAAUGAAAUAGGACGUGUGGUUCUAUUUUGUUGGUUUCUAGGACCGCCGUAAUGAUUAAUAGGGACAGUCGGGGGCAUCAGUAUUCAAUUGUCAGAGGUGAAAUUCUUGGAUUUAUUGAAGACUAACUACUGCGAAAGCAUUUGCCAAGGAUGUUUUCAUUAAUCAGGAACGAAAGUUAGGGGAUCGAAGACGAUCAGAUACCGUCGUAGUCUUAACCAUAAACUAUGCCGACUAGGGAUCGGACGAUGUUAUUUUUUGACGCGUUCGGCACCUUACGAGAAAUCAAAGUGCUUGGCUC